CCUACGGGUGGCAGCAGUGGGGAAUAUUGCACAAUGGGGGAAACCCUGAUGCAGCGACGCCGCGUGAGUGAAGAAGUAUUUCGGUAUGUAAAGCCCUGUCAGCAGGGAAGAAAAUGACGGUAUCUGACCAAGAAGCCCCGACUAACUACGUGCCAGCAGCCGCGGUAAUACGUAGGGGGCAAGCGUUAUCCGGAUUUACUGGGUGUAAAGGGUGCGUAGACGGCAGUGCAAGUCUGGAGUGAAAUGCGGGGGCUCAACCCCCGGACUGCUCUGGAAACUGCCAGGCUGGAGUGCAGGAGAGGUAAGUGGAAUUCCUGGUGUAGCGGUGAAAUGCGUAGAUAUUAGGAGGAACACCAGUGGCGAAGGCGACUUACUGGACUGUAACUGACGUUGAGGCACGAAAGCGUGGGGAGCAAACAGGAUUAGAUACCCCGGUAGUC
rnacentral:rRNA from 1 species